rnacentral:rRNA from 1 species
CAGUCGCCGCGGGAACACGGAGGGGGCUAGCGUUGUUCGGAAUUACUGGGCGUAAAGCGCACGUAGGCGGCUUGGUAAGUUAGAGGUGAAAGCCCGGAGCUCAACUCCGGAAUUGCCUUUAAGACUGCCGAGCUAGUAGGUGAGAGAGGUAAGUGGAAUUCCGAGUGUAGAGGUGAAAUUCGUAGAUAUUCGGAAGAACACCAGUGGCGAAGGCGGCUUACUGGCUCAUUCUAGACGCUGAGGUGCGAGAGCGUGGGGAGCAAACAGGAUUAGAUACCCCAGUAGUCCCUGUCUCUUAUAA